rnacentral:rRNA from 1 species
UAGGGAAUAUUAGUUAAUGUGCGAAAGCGCGAACUAGCAACGCCGCGUGUGCGAUGAAGGUCUUCGGAUCGUAAAGCACUUUUCGAGAAGAUGAGGAAGGACAGUACUCUCGGAAUAAGUCUCGGCUAACUACGUGCCAGCAGCCGCGGUAAAACGUAGGAGGCAAGCGUUAUCCGGAUUUACUGGGCGUAAAGCGCGUGCAGGCGGUUUGGUAAGUUGGAUGUGAAAGCUCCCGGCUCAACUGGGAGAGGUCGUUCAAAACUACCAGACUUGAGGGCGGUAGAGGGAAGUGGAAGUCGGGGUGUAGGGGUGAAAUGCGUAGAUAUACGGAGGAAAACCAGUGGCGAAAGCGGCUUACUGGAGCGAUCCUGACGCUGAG